rnacentral:rRNA from 1 species
UACGAAGGGGGCUAGCGUUGCUCGGAAUCACUGGGCGUAAAGCGCACGUAGGCGGCUUUUUAAGUCAGGGGGGAAAUCCUGGAGCUCAACUCCAGAACUGCCUUUGAUACUGAGAAGCUUGAGUCCGGGAGAGGUGAGUGGAACUGCGAGUGUAGAGGUGAAAUUCGUAGAUAUUCGGAAGAACACCAGUGGCGAAGGCGGCUCACUGGACUGGUAUUGACGCUGAGGUGCGAAAGCGUGGGGAGCAAACAGG